GAACCCGUGGCGCAGUGGUAGCGCGUGAGAUUCCAGUUUUAGGCGUCAGCCUAUGACACGUCCUCAAGGUCAUCCGUUCAAUCCGGGUCGGGUUCA
rnacentral:tRNA from 1 species